UGUCAGCCGCCGCGGUAAUACGUAGGGUGCGAGCGUUGUCCGGAAUUACUGGGCGUAAAGAGCUCGUAGGUGGUUUGUCGCGUUGUCCGUGAAAACUCACAGCUUAACUGUGGGCGUGCGGGCGAUACGGGCAGACUGGAGUACUGCAGGGGAGACUGGAAUUCCUGGUGUAGCGGUGGAAUGCGCAGAUAUCAGGAGGAACACCGGUGGCGAAGGCGGGUCUCUGGGCAGUAACUGACGCUGAGGAGCGAAAGCGUGGGGAGCGAACAGGAUUAGAUACCCUGGUAGUCCACGCCGUAAACGGUGGGUACUAGGUGUGGGUUUCCUUCCUUGGGAUCCGUGCCGUAGCUAACGCAUUAAGUACCCCGCCUGGGGAGUACGGCCGCAAGGCUAAAACUCAAAGGAAUUGACGG
rnacentral:rRNA from 1 species